GAAACACACAAAGGACAGCUAUAAACUGGGGACUGUGGAAUCAGUAAUGCAAGGAUUUUAGAAGAUGAAUUAUUUCUUUAGACUUUGUUUCCCCGUAGGAAUAUUAACUGUGUGUUAAGGCUGCAUGAACAGAUUUCUGACUGUCAUCUCAGACCCUGCUUCUGCAACAAGAUCUGUAGGAACAGAUUUCUGGAUGGAAGUUUAGGCGUGUCCUUGGACUAAGAUCCCUUGCACAAGGAUGACUUCUUUUUCUGGAAUUUGACCUUUAAAUGAAAAUUUAAAUUGUUAUGAUUUUGUGUGGGGAAACCACAA